rnacentral:rRNA from 1 species
AUUGAACGCUGGCGGCAUGCCUUACACAUGCAAGUCGAACGGCAGCGGGGGAGAAGCUUGCUUUUCCUGCCGGCGAGUGGCGAACGGGUGAGUAAUACAUCGGAACGUGCCCUGUAGUGGGGGAUAACUAGUCGAAAGAUUAGCUAAUACCGCAUACGACCUGAGGGUGAAAGUGGGGGACCGCAAGGCCUCAUGCUAUAGGAGCGGCCGAUGUCUGAUUAGCUAGUUGGUGGGGUAAAGGCCUACCAAGGCGACGAUCAGUAGCGGGUCUGAGAGGACGAUCAGCCAGCCUGGGACUGAGACACGGCCCAGACUCCUACGGGAGGCAGCAGUGGGGAAUUUUGGACAAUGGGCGAAAGCCUGAUCCAGCAAUGCCGCGUGUGUGAAGAAGGCCUUCGGGUUGUAAAGCACUUUUGUCCGGAAAGAAAUGGCUCUGGUUAAUACCUGGGGUCGAUGACGGUACCGGAAGAAUAAGGACCGGCUAACUACGUGCCAGCCGCCGCAGUAA